AGUGAACGCUGGCGGUAGGCCCAACACAUGCAAGUCGAACGGCAGCACAGUAAGAGCUUGCUCUUACGGGUGGCGAGUGGCGGACGGGUGAGGAAUACAUCGGAAUCUACUUUUUCGUGGGGGAUAACGUAGGGAAACUUACGCUAAUACCGCAUACGACCUACGGGUGAAAGCAGGGGAUCUUCGGACCUUGCGCGAUUGAAUGAGCCGAUGUCGGAUUAGCUAGUUGGCGGGGUAAAGGCCCACCAAGGCGACGAUCCGUAGCUGGUCUGAGAGGAUGAUCAGCCACACUGGAACUGAGACACGGUCCAGACUCCUUCGGGAGGCAGCAGUGGGGAAUAUUGGACAAUGGGCGCAAGCCUGAUCCAGCCAUACCGCGUGGGUGAAGAAGGCCUUCGGGUUGUAAAGCCCUUUUGUUGGGAAAGAAAAGCAGCAGGUUAAUACCCCGCUGUUCUGACGGUACCCAAAGAAUAAGCACCGGCUAACUUCGUG
rnacentral:rRNA from 1 species